rnacentral:rRNA from 1 species
AGCGAACGCUGGCGGCAGGCCUAACACAUGCAAGUCGAACGGAUCCUUCGGGAUUAGUGGCGGACGGGUGAGUAACACGUGGGAACGUGCCCUUUGGUUCGGAACAACUCAGGGAAACUUGAGCUAAUACCGGAUGUGCCCUUCGGGGGAAAGAUUUAUCGCCAUUGGAGCGGCCCGCGUCUGAUUAGCUAGUUGGUGAGGUAACGGCCCACCAAGGCGACGAUCAGUAGCUGGUCUGAGAGGAUGAUCAGCCACACUGGGACUGAGACACGGCCCAGACUCCUACGGGAGGCAGCAGUGGGGAAUCUUGCGCAAUGGGCGAAAGCCUGACGCAGCCACGCCGCGUGAAUGAUGAAGGUCUUAGGAUUGUAAAAUUCUUUCAGCGGGGACGAUAAUGACGGUACCCGCAGAAGAAGCUCCGGCUAACUUCGUG